rnacentral:rRNA from 1 species
UACGUCGGGGGCUAGCGUUGUCCGGAAUCAUUGGGCGUAAAGAGCGUGUAGGCGGUCCGGUAAGUCCGCUGUGAAAGUCGGGGGCUCAACCCUCGAAUGCCGGUGGAUACUGUCGGGCUAGAGUGCGGAAGAGGCGAGUGGAAUUCCUGGUGUAGCGGUGAAAUGCGCAGAUAUCAGGAGGAACACCUAUUGCGAAGGCAGCUCGCUGGGACGUUACUGACGCUGAGACGCGAAAGCGUGGGGAGCAAACAGG